rnacentral:lncRNA from 1 species
AUGCUCACCGGCCUCAGCCCCGCGCCCGCCGUCAGCGUCGAGACGCAGGCCCUCCUGGUGGGAUCCCACCGCAUCCCCUGCCUCCACUGUCAUCUGCUCCACGUGGUAUCUCCAGGGGGACCUCUCUGCUGGGCUCCAGGCCGCAUAGCUGUGGGCGGCCAGCACGAUGUCCCACCAGGACCCCUGCAGUCCCAGUGCCCCCGCCUGCUCAUCUGGGGACCUGUCCUCACUGCCUGCUGCCUGAACUGUGUGGAAGGACAGAGGCUAAACGAGGAAGCCGGGAACUCUGGUCUCAUGGACAUGGCAGCCUGCCCACCACCCACGCCUGCCCAGCCUUUCUUCACGCAGCGCUUAAAACGUGGAGAGCGGAAUCUUCUGGGCCCAGGUAACACACCUUUGCUCCGACAUUCCCUUCACUACUCACUGGCAAGCUCAGUUGGAAAUUCGCUCCCAGUAGGAGGUUCCGCAGCAGACACAUGGGAUCCAGCUGCCGGGAAUCUCUUUUCUUCACUCACCACUACCUUCAGACACACUCUGCCAAAUCUUCUCUCUCGGAUGACAUCUCAGGUGGAUCUGACAGUCCAUUUCAGGUAUUAUAUUAGGAUAAUCUCUUCUUUUCUUUUCAAGAUGGAGUCUGGCUCUGUCACCCAGGCUGGAGUACCGUGGUAUGUCCUUGGCUCACUCCAACCUCUGCCUCCUCUGCCUCAAGUGAUUCUCCUGCCUCAGCCUUCCGAGUAG